GAUGAACGCUAGCGACAGGCUUAACACAUGCAAGUCGAGGGCAGCAUAAAAGUAGCAAUACGUUUGGUGGCGACCGGCGCACGGGUGAGUAACGCGUAUGCAACCUACCUAUCAGAGGGGGAUAACCCGGCGAAAGUCGGACUAAUACCGCAUAAAACAGGGGCACCGCAUGGUGAUAUUUGUUAAAAAUUUAUUGCUGAUAGAUGGGCAUGCGUUCCAUUAGGUAGUUGGAGAGGUAACGGCUCACCAAGCCAACGAUGGAUAGGGGAACUGAGAGGUUGGUCCCCCACACUGGUACUGAGACACGGACCAGACUCCUACGGGAGGCAGCAGUGAGGAAUAUUGGUCAAUGGGCGAGAGCCUGAACCAGCCAAGUCGCGUGAAGGAAGAAGGAUCUAUGGUUCGUAAACUUCUUUUGCAGGGGAAUAAAGUGCAGGACGUGUCCUGUUUUGUAUGUACCCUGAGAAUAAGGAUCGGCUAACUCCGUG
rnacentral:rRNA from 1 species